CUUUAGCAUCAUUAUGUGUAACAAGAUGUUUAAACAUAUUUUGUUUUCCUUUCAUUAAGGAGACAAUAGUCUCAAGAGGUAGAUGGCAAUCUUUAAAAGGCAGAGAGCCUAAAAGGGCAUUAAUAUGUUUGUCUAAAGUGAUUGUGUCGCUGAAAUAAUAUUGGGUGUCAUUAAGAUCUAACCAGGUAACAUUAGUCAAACAUCCUGAAAUUACUAGUAAUUAUCUUUGUAGGGAGGUUAGUUGUCAAACAGAUAUGUCGUGUGCUUAUUUCAGUCAUGGUAAAAUCAUUUUCAG